CCCUUAGCUGUUCUGGGCCGCACGCGCGCUACACUGAUGCAUUCAACAAGCCUAGCCUUGACCGAGAGGUCCGGGUAAUCUUUGAAACUGCAUCGUGAUGGGGCUAGAUUAUUGCAAUUAUUAAUCUUCAACGAGGAAUGCCUAGUAAGCGUGAUUCAUCAAAUCGCGUUGAUUACGUCCCUGCCCUUUGUACACACCGCCCGUCGCUCCUACCGAUUGAAUGUGUUGGUGAGGAGCUCGGAUUGGCAGCAGUUGGUGGUUCGCCACCGGCUAUUGCUGAGAAGUCCUCCAAACCGCCCCAUUUAGAGGAAGGAGAAGUCGUAACA
rnacentral:rRNA from 1 species